rnacentral:rRNA from 1 species
UACACACCGCCCGUCACACCAUGGGAGUCGUUUGCUCCAGAAGUGCCUGUGCCAACCGCAAGGAGGCAGGGCCCCAAGGAGUGAACGGUAACUGGGGUG